UUUAAUUGAAGAGUUUGAUCAUGGCUCAGAUUGAACGCUGGCGGCAGGCCUAACACAUGCAAGUCGAGCGGUAA
rnacentral:rRNA from 4 species